rnacentral:rRNA from 1 species
GGCUUUAAGAUUUUUUAUUUAAGGUUAGUUCUGCUCAAUGAUUGUUUUAAAUGGCUGCGGUAAAUUGACUGUGUGAAAGUAGCAUAAUAAUUAGUUUAUUAAUUGUGAACUGGUAUGAAUGGAUUGAUGAAAUAUAUACUGUCUUUAGUUUAAAUAUGUCGAAUUUUAUAUUCGGGUUAAAAGGCUUGAAUUUUUUAGUGGGACGAGAAGACCCUUUAGAACUUUAUUUUUUGUUAGUUAUUUUUGGGCUUUAAAAGGAUUUUGUUGGGGUGACAGGUAGAUUUUGUUAAUUUUAUUUUGAUUUUUGCAUUUAUUGGUGUGUGUUUUAUGAAUUUUUUUAUUUAUUAGAUUAAGUUACCUAAGGGAUAACAGCGUUAUUUAUAUGGAGAGUUCUUAUUGAUAUAUAAGUUUGCGACCUCGAUGUUGAAUUAAGAUUAUUUUUGGAGAAGGGUUUAGAAUUAUUAGGUCUGUUCGACCUUUAAAAUCUUACA